rnacentral:rRNA from 1 species
GGGUUGUGAGGUUAAGCGACUAAGCGUACACGGUGGAUGCCCUGGCAGUCAGAGGCGAUGAAGGACGUGCUAAUCUGCGAUAAGCGUCGGUAAGGUGAUAUGAACCGUUAUAACCGGCGAUUUCCGAAUGGGGAAACCCAGUGUGAUUCGUCACACUAUCAUUAACUGAAUUCAUAGGUUAAUGAGGCGAACCGGGGGAACUGAAACAUCUAAGUACCCCGAGGAAAAGAAAUCAACCGAGAUUCCCCCAGUAGCGGCGAGCGAACGGGGAGCAGCCCAGAGCCUGAAUCAGUGUGUGUGUUAGUGGAAGCGUCUGGAAAGGCGCGCGAUACAGGGUGACAGCCCCGUACACAAAAAUGCACAUGCUGUGAGCUCGAUGAGUAGGGCGGGACACGUGGUAUCCUGUCUGAAUAUGGGGGGACCAUCCUCCAAGGCUAAAUACUCCUGACUGACCGAUAGUGAACCAGUACCGUGAGGGAAAGGCGAAAAGAACCCCGGCGAGGGGAGUGAAAAAGAACCUGAAACCGUGUACGUACAAGCAGUGGGAGCACAGAGCAAUC